rnacentral:rRNA from 1 species
UGACACUGAACACUGGUCCUUGAUGUGUAGGAUAGGUGGGAGGCUUUGAAGCGUGGACGCCAGUCUGCGUGGAGCCGACCUUGAAAUACCACCCUUUAAUGGCUGGUGUUCUAACGUAGACCCGUAAUCCGGGUUGCGGACAGUGUCUGGUGGGCGG